UUUGACAUCUGCGUGGAAGGAAUCCCCGAUGACGCUCCAGAGGAUGAAGCACGUAGGUUGAUUGCAUGGGCGGUUUGGAACAAGCUUCCCAAACGGAAAACAUGGAACCAGUAUCUUAUGAGGAAGAUACAGGUCGCUAAACACAUUGGCUUGGAUCUGCAAGCUUCGUCUCUCCAAUUUUAAGACCCGGAAGGAUGUGCACCAUUGUUCCAUGUCAACUCUAUUUCGUUGCUCACCCACAUGCAAAUUAGGAUGCAUCAUUGUAGUAUAUACU